CAUCCCAAUGACAUCUCCUUAAUCGGAGAGUUCCCUUCGGGGACAUUGGUGACAGGUGGUGCAUGGUUGUCGUCAGCUCGUGUCGUGAGAUGUUGGGUUAAGGCCCGCAACGAGCGCAACCCUUGUCUUUAGUUGCCAUCAUUAAGUUGGGCACUCUAGAGAGACUGCCAGGGAUAACCUGGAGGAAGGUGGGGAUGACGUCAAA
rnacentral:rRNA from 1 species